UACAUAAUUAUUCCUUUAUUGUUGGCAUUGAAUAUGUUUCCAAUCCUUUGCUCUCACUCAAGAUGCUGUCAUGAACAUUCAUUCAUUUAUUCAAUAAAUACUAAUCUAGUACCUAUGAUAUGUCAAUCAUUAAUCUUAGUGCUGCAAGAUUUAAUUAUUGCAAUGAAUGGAACAUGUAUAUAAUACUGCAAAAUUCCUUUGUGAAAUUUCUCCUAUGAGAAAUCUUUGCUCAAAAAUUGCACCAGCUUGUGAUUUAAUAUUAUAACUAAAGAACAAAGAGGGACCAGCCUAUUAAAUCUUGAAGGAAGAGUCAUAGAAUGCAUGCCUAUGAAAAUCAUAUCUGCCCCAGGAGAGAUUAUAAAAAAGGUACAGAACACUUUAUCCUUUUGAAGUAUAUGCGCAAUUAGAGGCAAAAACUUCCAAAUAUUGAGAGUUCUAGAUCUGCUCAGAUACAUGAAACCCAUGAUGGAUGGAAAAGAAAAGGUAAGGCUGAAGACAUUUUUAACCACAGAAACACAAGAUCAUGUCUAGCAAACUUCUUUUCAAAAAUUCGCUAAAUUCCAUAUCACCUAAAUUCCACAUCACCGCUUAAUCCAACUAAAUUUAAAGCCCAAAAGUAGAAUCUGUAUGAUGAUAAGAGGAUUGCUUGCUUCUCUCCUAAAUUAUCAAAGUCUUAGUUGCCUUUUAAAAUACAGAAAAUCAAAGUUUUUUCUUCAUUUCAGUCACAAGGUACCUUUUCUGCUUACAGAGGUUGAGAAACUCAAGGUGCCUAAUUUAUUAAGCGUUCUCAACUGCUGGUCUGUUUGUUGGUAUUAAAUACUGUUUUGGCGACCCCUAGUGGGAAACAUGGUAUCAACAUCUGUACAUUUAGAAAAUCCUGUUGCUAUUUUAAAACUUGCUUACAGACAAAAAUGGGAUCUAAAAUAAUUUUCCACCAAAGGAAUGUGACCUCAGUUCAUAUCAACUUGAAGUUCAUAUUUUUUCUGCAAUAGUAAUAAAACUGAAGUAUAAUUUCUGGAUACACAAGACAUUUGACAAUCAGUAAGAGGGUGGUGACUUAGAGUAUGCUACACCCGUGCAAUGGAAUAUUAUGCAGCUGUAAAACAGGACCCAAAAAAAAGAAUGAGGAAGCUCUUUGUGUACUCAUACGGAAUGAUCUCCAUUAUAUGUGAAAGAAAAUAAAACAGAAAACAAACAAAAAAUCAAAGUAGAGAACCAUGGUGAACAUUUUGCUACUAUCUGAAUUUUAAAAAGGAUAAAGUAUCAUAUAUAUUUGUGUUUGCUUAUACAUCCAUUAAAAAAGUCUCUAGAACGAAACACAAAAUACACACAGCAUGGUUACUUAUUGAGGAUGGGCUGGGAAAUGGGCAGAUGUCGGAAAUUGCAUUCCUUUGUAUCCUUUCUUCUUUUUGAACGAUGCCUUGAGUAUUAAAAAUAUCAAAUGACUUAAAAAAAAAAAAACUUUAAAGCCUGCAACACAAGACCACUAAAGAAAAAGAGAAAAAUGGUGCCUUGCAUGUUUUGACUUAAAAAAUAGACUAACUAUAACUUUCUGUCUAAAAAUAUAAAAUUUUCUUUCCUUUAUACAUUUUUAAUUCUGUAUCUUUUUCCAAUGGAAUCUUCUCUUGCAUAUUUUCCUUACUUAAAGGCCAAAUUGUCAGAUAGACAUUGAAGCAACCUGACAGGCAGGAUCGUCUUGAGGUGAUAUCUUGGGGCAUGAAAUAGUAACAGCUCCCCUGGCAUGUCUUGCCAACAAGGUCACUGGUUCCAGACCCAAAUUCUCUAUUGGCAACAAGUGUAUGAAAUUGUGAUACUCCCUCCUAGGUCACAAUUUAAGACUCAUAAGGAACAUUUUCAAGUAUACAUAGCAGAUAUCCAGGAAUAAAUCUAGCAGAAGAUGUGAAAGACCCAUAUGGAGACAAUUAUACAAAUUUUAAAGUCAAAAAAGUAGACAGAAAUGGAAAUAUAUACUACAUGCAUACAUGAGAAAGCUCAAUAUAUUUAACAUGGCAAUCUCCCCAAAUAAACCAAUAAAUUCAAUGUAAUUACAAUUGAAAUUACAGCAGGGUCUUUGUGCUAUUUGCAAGCUGAGCUUAAAUGGGAGGGUUUUUUCAUUACCUUCGACGGUCAUUUUUGGGAAUGUAGAAGUAUGAUUCAGAGAUUUACCUAGGUUUUAAAAGUGAAUGUUCAAUUUAUUAAAGUUAUAAUUUGAAAAACUGCCUUUUCCCUUAAGCUUUUAAGUUCAGCUAAAAAUCGUAAACAAUAAAUCUAGCAAAUUUUCACAAACACUUUUAAGGGGACUUUGGAUAAAAUUUAGUUCCACUCCAAAUUUUAACUUUUAAACAUUUUAAAUCAUACUUAUUAGUGUAAUGUAAUACACUUCAUUUCCUUGUAAAUAUUGCAAUUGUCUGAUUUAACAAUCAAAACCUUUCAUGUACUUAUUUUCAUAAAUCCAGUUAAUUAAAUUUACAAAUACGUAAAAUGAAACAAGUUCUCUUCUAUAUUCCACCUCACUGUGUAAAACUUAUGGCUGAAUUGUGUUCCCCACACAUUUAUAUGUGGGGAACUCCCCCUCUCAAUCAUCAGUAGCACAGAAUGUGACUGCAUUGGAGAUGGGACCCUUAAAGAGGUGAUUAAGAUAAAAUGAGGUCACAUGGGCGGGCCCUAGUCCACUGUGACCGGUGUCUUCCUAAGAAGAGGAGAUUAGCACACAGGCACGCUGAGGGAAAACCAUGCGAAGACACACAGAGAAGACUGCCAUCGGCAAGCCAAGAGAUGUACAAGAUGCAAAGAGGGAGAAGAAUUUACGUCUAGAGUAGCCAAAGCCGAUUUCAAGGAGAUGCUUUGGAGCUGACUUAGAGGGAAGGUGUUUGCCAAGGGGCAAAGGCCUUGGAAGCAGAGGGCACAGCUGGGACGCAGGACCGCAGCGGCGCGGGACCGACGGCGGGAGCGCGGGCGGUGCACGGAGAGCUCAGGAGCAUCAUGAGCAGCGGCGGCGGCUCCAGGGGAAGGAGCGGGACGUGGGGCCCGGCACGUGUCGAACUGGUGCUGUACCUUAGUCGCCAGGCAGGAAACGCGGCCCUGCUAGCGCCGAAUUAACUUCCACUCCAUGCAACUUCUAAGGGACACACCGUUCCCCUGGGUGCGAAGGGGCUACCGCGCUGCCACGACAGCUCGAAAGCAGAAUUACACCGAGACUCCAUCUUCCCAGUUGCCUGUAGCCUUGUCCUACUUGAGGUUCCCAUUUCGCCUCAGCCCCAAAGAAGCUCCCCGCCACCAAG
rnacentral:lncRNA from 1 species